UACGUAGGGUCCGAGCGUUGUCCGGAAUUAUUGGGCGUGAAGGGCUCGUAGGCGGUCUGUUGCGUCAGGAGUGAAAACUCGGGGCUUAACCCCGAGCCUGCUUCUGAUACGGGCAGACUAGAGGUAUGCAGGGGAGAACGGAAUUCCUGGUGUAGCGGUGAAAUGCGCAGAUAUCGAGAGGAACACCUGAGGUGAAGACGGGUUGCUGGGCCGACACUGACGCUGAGUGCGCGAAAGCCAGGGGAGCAAACGGG
rnacentral:rRNA from 1 species